rnacentral:rRNA from 1 species
AACGAACGCUGGCGGCGUGCUUAACACAUGCAAGUCGAACGCGAACGAUUUUCUUCGGAGAAUCUAGUAGAGUGGCGCACGGGUGAGUAACGCGUAAGUUAUCUACCCUCCCAUCUGGAAUAACUCAGCGAAAGCUGUGCUAAUACCGGAUACGUUGAUUUAUCAAGAAAGGUGGCCUCUGUUUCAUGCUACCGUGGGGGGAAGAGCUUGCGUACCAUUAGCUAGUUGGUAGGGUAAUGGCCUACCAAGGCGACGAUGGUUAGCGGGUCUGAGAGGAUGAUCCGCCACACUGGAACUGGAACACGGACCAGACUCCUACGGGAGGCAGCAGUGAGGAAUAUUGCGCAAUGGGGGAAACCCUGACGCAGCGACGCCGCGUGGAUGAUGAAGGCCUUCGGGUCGUAAAAUCCUGUCAGAUGGAAAGAAAUGCUAUAGGUUUAAUAUGUCUAUAGUUUGACGGUACCAUCAAAGGAAGCACCGGCUAAC